GCCGGGUGCAGUGGCACGUGCCUGUAGUCCCAGCUACUUGGGAGGCUGAGGUGGGAGGAUCGCUUGAGCCCAGGAGUUAUGGGCAGUAGUGCGCUAUGCCCAUCGGGUGUCAUCACUAAGUUUGGCAUCAAUAUGGUGAUCUCACGGGAGUGGGGGACCACCAGGUUGACUAAGGAGGGGUGAACUGGCCCAGGUCGGAAACAGAGCAGGUCAAAACUCCCAUGCUCAUCAGUAGUGGGAUCGCACCUGUGAAUAGCCACUGCACUCCAGCCUGGGCAACAUAGCGAGAACCUGUCUCU
rnacentral:SRP_RNA from 1 species